rnacentral:misc_RNA from 1 species
AGAGACCUUAAUUAAAGCUGUAGCUACAGCAAUUCCAGUAUAUGCGAUGUUGUGCUUUCGGCUUCCUUCUGUGCUUUGUAAGGAGAUUAAUGCCAUUUUAGCAAAUUUCUGGUGGGGACAAAAGAAGGAUGAGAAUAGAAUUCACUGGAUUGCUUAGAAUCAUAUGUGUGAACCAAAAAUUCAAGGAGGAUUGGGCUUCAGAAAUUUAGAGUGCUUCAACAACGCGCUGCUAGCUAAACAAAGUUGGAGGAUUCUUACCCAACCAACCUCUUCGUUUGCCAGAUUUUUCAAAGGGAAAUAUUUCCCAUCCACCUCUUUCCUUCAAGCUAAACAGGGAUGUAGACCAUCUUGGGGAUGGCAAAGCAUUAUAUGGGGG